rnacentral:rRNA from 1 species
CCCUUAGAUGUUCUGGGCCGCACGCGCGCUACACUGACGAAUGCAACGAGCUUAUAACCUUGUCCGAAAGGUCUGGGUAAUCUCCAAAUUUCGUCGUGAUGGGGAUAGAUUAUUGCAAUUAUUAAUCUUCAACGAGGAAUGCCUAGUAAGCGCAAGUCAUCAGCUUGCGUUGAUUACGUCCCUGCCCUUUGUACACACCGCCCGUCGCUCCUACCGAUUGAAUGGUCCGGUGAAGCGUUCGGACCGUGGCCUUUGGACGGUUCGCCGUCUGUUGGCUGCGGGAAGUUCGUUAAACCUUNUNAUUUAUNGGAAGGAGAANUCGUANCA